rnacentral:misc_RNA from 1 species
UCUUUUGGACCUCAAGACUAUACCAGAGUUACCAGCAAUGGACAUCUGACAAUCAUCAUCAGGGAAAAAGUGCAAUUUUACAACAAGUGUUGAAAACCAUAUGAUAGCAAUUUCUGACUUCUUCUAUGACUUUUGAAGUGGUACAGCUACAGUUUAGAUCAGUGCGUCAUUUCAUAAUUUGAUAGAUUGAAAUUCUAGUUUAUGUAUUCUCUGAUUUUGUGUUAUCUAACAUUGUAUUUCUUUGUUCACAAGUCAUUAAUUGUUAUAAUUAUAUGUUCGGUUAAGCCAUACUUUGAGAUAAAAUACAUGCUUACCUGUAAUUUAUCCAUCAUCAUAAACAUAUUUUCAGUCAAUAUCAGUAAUAAAUAAAUACAAAAAGCAAUACAAAAUAUGGACAAUUAAUGGUUCACCAUAGUUAGAAUUUUCCAGUGUAUUACACAGAUUACACACCUUUGUGACAGGUUACCAGAAUGAUAUUAUAAGACUUGCCGAUCAUCUCAUACCACAUACUGUACUUGCCACUCUAUGGAUAGGGUUCAUGUAUUUAGAGCACCAAUUUGUUGGUUAACUGUGUUGAUACAUAUGGUCACCUUGUGUGUAAUGCCAUAAUUAGAUCAGUUACAUAAAACUGAGAAUUGAUCCAAUCAAACUUACAUUCUUUAUAUUCAUUAUGUCAGAAAGCAAAUUAAAUUUCCAUGUACUAAAAUAGUACUUAGAUGUGUGUUUUGUAAAAUUUUAAAAGACAAUUGCCAAAAAAAUUUCAUUUUGAAUUUGUAAUAUUUCCAGGUAUUUAAAUCAUGCAACCUUUGUCUCCACAUUUGAAAUAAAGCUCAGGGAUAUUUUCAUUGACUUCAUAUAAGCAUUUUUAUGUAAAUAAUGCUUGUCUUGUAUCUGUAAAUAUGCUGUAUUGAGAUAUGGGUCAUUAUCAUAGCAUUUAUAACCAGUUUAUAUUUUUUCACAUCAUUUUGUUGUGUGGAUUUGCUAUUGUUCCCAACAAUAGAAUGUGAAUAUGAUUUGAAGUGUUCUAUGUGUAACCAUUACAUAAUAAUCAAAGCUGUUCAUUGUAUAUGAGAUACAUUCAUGGAUAUUGGAGCCAGCACACUUUGUUACUAUUUAUAAUUCGUUAUAAAAUUUUUACCUC